GAUGAACGCUGGCGGCGUGCCUAAUACAUGCAAGUCGAGCGAAUGGAUUAAGAGCUUGCUCUUAUGAAGUUAGCGGCGGACGGGUGAGUAACACGUGGGUAACCUGCCCAUAAGACUGGGAUAACUCCGGGAAACCGGGGCUAAUACCGGAUAACAAUUUGAACCGCAUGGUUCGACAUUGAAAGGCGGCUUCGGCUGUCACUUAUGGAUGGACCCGCGUCGCAUUAGCUAGUUGGUGAGGUAACGGCUCACCAAGGCAACGAUGCGUAGCCGACCUGAGAGGGUGAUCGGCCACACUGGGACUGAGACACGGCCCAGACUCCUACGGGAGGCAGCAGUAGGGAACCUUCCGCAAUGGACGAAAGUCUGACGGAGCAACGCCGCGUGAGUGAUGAAGGCUUUCGGGUCGUAAAACUCUGUUGUUAGGGAAGAACAAGUGCUAGUUGAAUAAGCUGACACCUUGACGGUACCUAACCAGAAAGCCACGGCUAACUACGUGCCAGCAGCCGCCGUAA
rnacentral:rRNA from 1 species